CGGAAGGUUAUGACGGACGCAACGUCGGUGGAGGCAUUUAAGUUCUCCGGAUCCUCUAGUUCUGGUGAUAGGAAAGAACAAUGGCAAGAGUAAAUGCUUGAACUUGAUCGUAACUAACCAGAAAGGCACCGGCUAAAUACGUGCAGCAGUCUGGGGUUAUACGUUAGGUGGUAGCGUUGUCCUGGAAUUAUUGGGCGUAAAGGGCUCGCAGCUGGUUUCUUAAGUCUGAUGUGAAAGCCCCCGGCUCAACCGGGGAGGGUCAUUGGAAACUGGGAAACUUGAGUGCAGAAGAGGAGAGUGGAAUUCCACGUGUAGCGGUGAAAUGCGUAGAGAUGUGGAGGAACACCAGUGGCGAAGGCGACUCUCUGGUCUGUAACUGACGCUGAGGAGCGACAGCGUGGGGAGCGAACAGGAUUAGAUACCCUGGUAGUCCACGCCGUAAACGAUGAGUGCUAAGUGUUAGGGGGUUUCCGCCCCUUAGUGCUGCAGCUAACGCAUUAAGCACUCCGCCUGGGGAGUACGGUCGCAAGACUGAAACUCAAAGGAAUUGACGGGGGCCCGCACAAGCGGUGGAGCAUGUGGUUUAAUUCGAAGCAACGCGAAGAACCUUACCAGGUCUUGACAUCCUCUGACAACCCUAGAGAUAGGGCUUACCCUUCGGGGACAGAGUGACAGGUGGUGCAUGGUUGUCGUCAGCUCGUGUCGUGAGAUGUUGGGUUAAGUCCCGCAACCAGCGCAACCCUUGAUCUUAGUUGCCAGCAUUCAGUUGGGCACUCUAAGGUGACAGCCGGUGACAAACCGGAGGAAGGCCGGAUCCCUCAAAUCAUCAUGCCCCCCAUGACCUGGGCUACACACGUGCUACAAUGGACAGAACAAAGGGCUGCGAGACCGCAAGGUUUAGCCAAUCCCACAAAUCUGUUCUCAGUUCGGAUCGCGGUCUGCAACGAGAGUGCGAUCAGGGGGAAUCGCUUGUAAUCGAGGAUCAGCCUAGCGGUGUGAAGACGUUACCGGGCGGGGUAUAUACCGCCUUUCACCCCACUCUAGUCCCCACGCCCGGUUCUGUGAGGUAACCUCUAUGGAGAAAUCGGCACCCCUUUACAGAGAUAGGGUUGUCUCCGACGUCUUCAUGCC
rnacentral:rRNA from 1 species